rnacentral:rRNA from 1 species
CAUGCAAGUCGAGGGGUAACAGAGGUAGCUUGCUACUUGCUGACGACCGGCGCACGGGUGCGUAACGCGUAUAGAAUCUACCUUAUACUGGGGGAUAGCCUUUGGAAACGAAGAUUAAUACCCCAUAGUAUGUUUGAAUGGCAUCAUUUGGACAUUAAAGUUUCGGCGGUAUAAGAUGACUAUGCGUUCUAUUAGUUUGUUGGUAAGGUAACGGCUUACCAAGACUACGAUAGAUAGGGGUCCUGAGAGGGAGAUCCCCCACACUGGUACUGAGACACGGACCAGACUCCUACGGGAGGCAGCAGUGAGGAAUAUUGGACAAUGGAGGCAACUCUGAUCCAGCCAUGCCGCGUGUAGGAAGACUGCCCUAUGGGUUGUAAACUACUUUUAUAUGGGAAGAAUAAGGUCUACGUGUAGACUGAUGACGGUACCAUAAGAAUAAGCACCGGCUAACUCCGUGCCAGCAGCCGCGGUAAUACGGAGGGUGCAAGCGUUAUCCGGAAUCAUUGGGUUUAAAGGGUCCGUAGGCGGGCAUAUAAGUCAGUGGUGAAAGUCUGUGGCUCAACCAUAGAAUUGCCAUUGAUACUGUAUGUCUUGAAUUAUUGUGAAGUGGUUAGAAUAUGUAGUGUAGCGGUGAAAUGCUUAGAGAUUACAUAGAAUACCGAUUGCGAAGGCAGAUCACUAACAAUAUAUUGACGCUGAUGGACGAAAGCGUAGGUAGCGAACAGGAUUAGAUACCCUGGUAGUCUACGCCGUAAACGAUGGAUACUAGUUGUUUGGUUUUCGGACUGAGUGACUAAGCGAAAGUGAUAAGUAUCCCACCUGGGGAGUACGUUCGCAAGAAUGAAACUCAAAGGGAA